rnacentral:rRNA from 1 species
GACGAACGCUGGCGGCGUGCUUAACACAUGCAAGUCGAACGGAGUGGCGAACGGGUGAGUAACACGUGGGUGAUCUGCCUUGCACUUCGGGAUAAGCUUGGGAAACUGGGACUAAUUACGGAUAGUGCAAGCUGAGCUCGCGGCAUAUCAGCUUGUUGGUGGGGUAAUGGCCUACCAAGGCGUCGAAGGGUAGCCGGCCUGAGAGGGUGUACGGCGACAUUGGGACUGCGAUACGGCCCAGAUUCGUACUGGGGGCAGCGGGGGGGAAUAUUGCACAAUGGGCGGAAGUCUGAUGCAGCGACGCUGCGUGGGGGAGGAAGGUCUUCGGGUUGUAAACUCCUUUCUACAGGGACGCGUUACCUGUAUAAGAAGCACCGGCUAACUACGUGCCAGCAGCCGCGGUAAUAC